rnacentral:rRNA from 1 species
UACGGAGGGUGCAAGCGUUAUCCGGAUUCACUGGGCUUAAAGGGAGCGCAGGCGGAUUGGUAAGUCAGUGGUGAAAUACCUGAGCUUAACUCGGGAACUGCCAUUGAUACUACCGGUCUUGAAUAUUGUUGAGGUAUGCGGAAUGGGUCAUGUAGCGGUGAAAUGCAUAGAUAUGACCCGGAACACCAAUUGCGAAGGCAGCAUGCUAAACAAAGAUUGACGCUGAGGCUCGAAAGCGUGGGGAUCAAACAGG